AAACAAAUUGAUGUUACAAACUACUAACAAACCAUCUAUUUUCCAACCCUAAAAUUGAUUAACAUCUCUCUCAUUUCAUUUCAAAGCCUCGGCAAAACCCCCGUCCAGCCUCUUCUCCCAAAAAAUUAAUACCCAUUUCAUCUAAAGAAUCACUCUUCUUCAUCUUCUUUCACCAUGAUUUUUGCUUUCCUUUUCGAAAAUUUUAUAUACAAAAAUAAUAAUACUCAAUAUGUAUUUUGAUACAGUAAUCGGCACCAUGGAAAAAACAUAUGCAUAAACAAUAGGUGUAAUUAUUAUUGCUUAAAUUUUAUUUUAAUUUAUUAUUGUGAUUUUUGAGUUUAUUUUGAUUUUGACAUUAGUAAUUUUCUUAAUCUCUAUUUUAACAUUGGGGUUUUAUUUUAAGAAUCAUGUGGUAAAGCCUUAUUUAUUUAUUUUUUGGGAGCUUCUAGCAAUUUCAGUUGGUGAUAAAAUGUUGAAUUUAUUGGUGAUAGGAUGUGGUCCAGCAGGUCUUGCUUUAGUCGCGGAAUCGGCUAUGUUAGGAUUAAACAUUGGACUCAUUGGGCCAAAUCUCCCUUUCACAAACAGUUAUGGUUUUGGGGAAGAUGAAUUUAAAGGUACCUUGCUUUGUUUUUAUUUUUGAUUUUUUUGAUUUCUAUGCUCUAUACUAUUUAUGAUGUAAUAUAUUAUUUGACAUUGUUUUAGUUUUUAAUGAGUUAUUUGGUUGUCGCUUUCUCUCAGCCAACUAUUGUGAGAAAAUUUGAGAUAAGCUACUUAAAUACUAUAUCAUAUUACUGACUUUUUUUCCUUUAGAAAAAGUCUACUUCUGCUAUAUAUUAUAGAAUUUAAUAUAUUGAAAUAUGCAUUGUUUUCAUAUCUCGGACUUACAAGGUGUAUUAAGCUUGUAUGGCAAGAGACCAUAAUUUAUCUUGACAAGAUAAUACUAUUCUGAUUCGCUGUGCUUAUGAACGAGUUAGUCAUCAUUUGCUUCAGGGAGAGUUGUUAAGAAGAUGUGUGGAGUCAGGUGUUUCAUAUCAUGAUUUAAGAGUGGCAGGCAUUGUUGGAGCCGCCAAAGGUCAUAGUCUCGUAGCCUGUGAACAAAAUAUCGUCAUUUCUUACAGGAACUACUUCAGGUAAACUAAUGGAGUAUGAGGUGGGCGGGCCAAAGGUUUCGGUGCAAACUGUGUAUGGUGUGGAAGUUGAGGUAGAAUACAUAUCUAAUAACUUCUCUCAACUUUUUGGUUGAAUUUAGUCCAUAUGAUCCCAAUCUGAUAGUUUUCAUGGACUAUAUAGGGAUCACUUGUUCCAAGCAUAGAAGAAGAUUACCCAACUUUUCUCUAUGUGAUGCCUAUGUCUACAACAAGAUUCUUAUUUGAAGUUCCUCCAGUUGUCAUCAUUAGUUUUGUUGUGUUAUGUGAUUCUUCACCAUAAUAGCAUGAAGGGAAGAACAUGUAUAUGACUGCUUAUGAUUUCAGACUAUCUUUCCAAAAUACAAAGUUAUAUAACUAUGUUUUUCUUAUUAUUCCUUUUUAAUACAAAAUAUUGUUCACUUAAAUUAAUGAAUUUUAUUAAUAUAGAAUACAGUUUAAGUUCUUUAAGAUUGAAAGAAUAAAAUUGAGCUCAUGUAAACAAUGGUUAUAAGAGAGUUGGUAGUGGUGAUCCCUCAUUUUAUUGGAGUCAUUUCUCAUAUUU